GACGAACGCCGGCGGCGUGCUUAACACAUGCAAGUCGAACGAUGAACCCGGAGCUUGCUCCGGUGGAUUAGUGGCGAACGGGUGAGUAACACGUGAGUAACCUGCCCUUGACUCUGGGAUAACUGCGGGAAACUGUAGCUAAUACCGGAUACGACCCUCGGCGGCAUCGCCAGGGGGUGGAAAGAAUUUCGGUCAAGGAUGGACUCGCGGCCUAUCAGCUAGUUGGUGAGGUAACGGCUCACCAAGGCGACGACGGGUAGCCGGCCUGAGAGGGUGACCGGCCACACUGGGGCUGAGACACGGCCCAGACUCCUACGGGAGGCAGCAGCGGGGAAUAUUGCACAAUGGGCGCAAGCCUGAUGCAGCGACGCCGCGUGAGGGAUGACGGCCUUCGGGUUGUAAACCUCUUUCAGCAUCGACGAAGCGAAAGUGACGGUAGGUGCAGAAGAAGGACCGGCCAACUACGUGCCAGCCGCCGCGGUAA
rnacentral:rRNA from 1 species